rnacentral:rRNA from 1 species
AUUGAACGCUGGCGGCAGGCCUAACACAUGCAAGUCGAGCGGAUGAAGGGAGCUUGCUCCUGGAUUCAGCGGCGGACGGGUGAGUAAUGCCUAGGAAUCUGCCUGGUAGUGGGGUAUAACGUCCGGAAACGGGCGCUAAUACCGCAUACGUCCUGAGGGAGAAAGUGGGGGAUCUUCGGACCUCACGCUAUCAGAUGAUCCUAGGUCGGAUUAGCUAGUUGGUGGGGUAAAGGCCUACCAAGGCGACGAUCCGUAACUGGUCUGAGAGGAUGAUCAGUCACACUGGAACUGAGACACGGUCCAGACUCCUACGGGAGGCAGCAGUGGGGAAUAUUGGACAAUGGGCGAAAGCCUGAUCCAGCCAUGCCGCGUGUGUGAAGAAGGUCUUCGGAUUGUAAAGCACUUUAAGUUGGGAGGAAGGGCAGUAAGUUAAUACCUUGCUGUUUUGACGUUACCAAAAGAAUAAGCACCGGCUAACUUCGUG